rnacentral:rRNA from 1 species
GACGAAUGCUGGCGGCGUGCUUAACACAUGCAAGUCGAACGCUGAACCCGCUUCGGUGGGGGAUGAGUGGCGAACGGGUGAGUAACACGUGGGCAACCUGCCCCCGGCUCUGGGAUAACUCCAAGAAAUUGGGGCUAAUACCGGAUGUGACCGCUGGCCGCAUGGUCUGGUGGUGGAAAGGGUUUCCGGCUGGGGAUGGGCCCGCGGCCUAUCAGCUUGUUGGUGGGGUAGUGGCCUACCAAGGCGACGACGGGUAGCCGGCCUGAGAGGGUGACCGGCCACACUGGGACUGAGACACGGCCCAGACUCCUACGGGUGGCAGCAGUGGGGAAUAUUGCGCAAUGGGCGGAAGCCUGACGCAGCGACGCCGCGUGGGGGAUGACGGCCUUCGGGUUGUAAACCUCUUUCAGCAGGGACGAAGCGCAAGUGACGGUACCUGCAGAAGAAGCACCGGCCAACUACGUG